rnacentral:rRNA from 1 species
UACGAAGGGGGCUAGCGUUGUUCGGAUUUACUGGGCGUAAAGAGCGCGCAGGCGGUCGUUCAAGUCGCGUGUGAAAGCCCCCGGCUCAACUGGGGAGGGUCACGCGAUACUGAUCGACUCGAAGGCAGGAGAGGGUAGUGGAAUUCCCGGUGUAGUGGUGAAAUGCGCAGAUAUCGGGAGGAACACCAAUGGCGAAGGCAGCUCGCUGGGACGUUACUGACGCUGAGACGCGAAAGCGUGGGGAGCAAACAGG